GACGAACGCUUGCGGCGUGCUUAACACAUGCAAGUCGAACGAAGUUGCGAACGGGUGAGUAACGCGUAAUCAACCUGCCCUUCAGAGGGGGACAACAGUUGGACACGACUGCUAAUACCGCUUACUUAUGGAUGGGAUUGCGUCUGAUUAGCUAGUUGGAGGGGUAACGGCCCACCAAGGCGAUGAGCAGGAGCCGGUCUGAGAGGAUGAACGGGCACAUUGGGACUGGGACACGGCCCAGACGCCUACGGGAGGCAGCAGUGGGGAAUCUUCCGCAAUGGACGAAAGUCUGACGGAGCAACGCCGCGGGAGUGAUGACGGACUUCGGGUUGUAAAGCUCUGUUAAUCGGGACGCGGUACCGGAAUAGAAAGCCACGGCUAACUACGUGCCAGCAGCCGCGGUAAUUC
rnacentral:rRNA from 1 species